rnacentral:rRNA from 1 species
UACGGGGGAGGGACAGCGUUGUGAAUUAUUGGGCGUAAAGGGCGCGUAGGCGGCCUUUCAAGUGACGGGUGAAAUCCCUCGGCUUAACCGAGGAACUGCCUGUCAGACUGGAAGGCUUGAGUUCGGGAGAGGGAUGCGGAAUUCCAGGUGUAGCGGUGAAAUGCGUAGAUAUCAGGAGGAAUACCGGUGGCGAAAGCGACUCUCUGGACGGCAACUGACGCUGAGGCACGAAAGCGUGGGGAGCGAACAGG